GGCCGGGUAGCUCAGUCGGUAGAGCAGGGGACUGAAAAUCCCCGUGUCGGGGGUUCGAUUCCCUCCCCGGCCA
rnacentral:tRNA from 1 species